rnacentral:lncRNA from 1 species
UAAUGUUACCUGAGCCUAGGGUGCGGUUAUGUAGAUAUCCCAUGUAGCACUGACUAUCCCUUAUUAAACUCAUUUACUUAUUCUCAACCUUUUCACCAGUUACAAGUGUCUGCAUUGAUUGCACUCAUGUUAAGAAGCCUUUCUAAGCAGCUGAUAGUACUAAUCUGUGAGUAUAAAUAUUUGGAAGAAGAUUUGUUUCUUUCAAUACAUUUUAUCAAAACACCAGUAUUGUUCUCCUUUCCUUUCCUUUUUUUUUUUUUAAGAUUUAUUUAUUUAUUUAUUUAUUUAUUUAUUAUAUGUAAGUACACUGUAGCUGUCUUCAGACAUUCCAGAAGAGGGAGUCAGAUCUCAUUAUGGAUGGUUGUGAGCCACCAUGUGGUUACUGGGAUUUGAACUCCGGACCUUCGGAAGAGCAGUCGGGUGCUCUUACCCACUGAGCCAUCUCACCAGCACUGUUCUCCUUUCCUUAGUCAAUGACUUACCUAGCUAUGGGCUUUUGCAUAUUUACAGUUACAGGCAUGAAUUCUCUCCCACAAAAUAGGCCUUAAAUCCUAUCAGAAUGUAAUUGUUUACCUCCAUAUCAGUCACGCCACUGUAGCAUCAUUGGGCACAAUGUCCUGGUAGGGUGAUAUUGUUACACACUGGCAAAUAACUGGUUAAGACUAUGGCUGACUUUUUUCCUCUGAACCCUGCAUAGCAUCUUUCAGGUACCAUGAAAGCUAGUUGAACAUCAAGAAAGCAUCCAGCUCAGCUAUAGUUUCAUUUCUUCAUGUCCUGCAGCUAAAGAAUAGCUCAGCAAUAGACUUUUCCCAUUAAGUUCUAGUGGGCAAGUAAGAGGAAUGAGAUAUCCUGUGUUGUUUGAGGGAUCUCCAGGGGCCUCUUUGACCAACAACUUUUAGAAAUGUAUCCUAUGCUUUGUAUAGGGAUUUUCAUUUAACAAACUUAUGGCUUCUAGGAGAGGGAUUAUCCAUCCAUACAGCUUUUAUCAUUGUAUUUUUAACUACUUUACAAAUAGAAGUUGUUCAUAUGCCUUUUUCAUAUUUUUAAAAUCUGAUUACCUACCUCCAACUCUACAUGCCCCAACACUCAUCCCUUCUUACCCUAUUUCAAAUAAAACAUUUUCCCUCUGUACUUUCAUAUUACUUUUGUUAUAUUCUCUCCAUUCUCUGUUAAGUUCAUACACAAAUUCACACUCCCUCUUCACUGCAUGCAUAUUAAAAUUGUAAUACCUUCUUAAUGUUCUCUGAUCAGUAUAAAGUGACAUUUUUAGUCCCUUCUAACUAGUUUUAAUUUAAAGCCUAUUUUGUCAGGUAUUAGACUGGCCAUAUUUGUUAUUUCCUAGUCCAUUUUUUUUCUUUUCUUUUUGUUUUGUUUUGUUUUUUUUUUUUUUUUUUUUAGAAUAGCCUUUUCUAUCGUUUUACCUUAAUGUGGUAUCUUCCUCUGAUGAGGAAGUAUGUUUCUUUGAAGCAGGAAAAAGAAGAGUGCUGUUUUCUAAUUCAGUUUGCCAUUCUCAUCUUUUGAUUGAAUAAUUAAGACCAUUUACAUUCAGGGCUUUUUUUUUUUUUUAAUGGUAUGUUAUAAGUCCUGUCAUUUUUGUUUAUUUUCUAAUGUUUUGUGUUUUCUUAGUCCACAUUUGCCUAACUGGUUUAGCAUUGUUUGCCCCUACCCGAACUUCCUGAAUAUUUUCAUUGAGAAAUCAGCUGUUCUGAUGUACUCUCUUAUAUAAUAGAUUUAGUCUUUCUGUCUUGCAAUCUUUAAUAUGUUUUCUUUGUUCCAUAAUCUUUGUGCUUGAAAUUAAACUGGGAGUUUCUUUUCUGCCCCAGUAUAUUUGAUAAUCUGUGUACCUUUGUACAUGGUUGUAGUUAUAUUAUAGAAGGCUGAGUCAUGGAUAGUGAGUUCCCAGUCCCCAUCCAUCACUGUGAUUGCAUAUUUCCUUAUGCUAUGUGCAUUCUGAUGUAUGUUUGAGUACCAAACUAGAUCUGAAUCCCUUUAGCGAAAGAAUUAGGAAAAAGUUGGGUGGUUUUUUGUUGUUGUUGUUGGUGUUGUUGUCUUAAACCUGUUUACCUAAUGGUCAGUGCCAGGCCCUGAGGAUAUAUUUAGUAUGUUAUUGUAAAACCCAAUGAUCACCCUUUCCAGAGAGUUUUGACUUUCCCUCCCACCAAUAUUGGAACUUGACAGACAGAGAAGGAAGGUAAUCUGUCUCAGAGAAGGCAAUUCUGUUUCCUCCAUACUCUCAAGCUCAAAAGAUGCAGAGAGUUUCCCCAGUACUGCAGAGGGCAACCCCCAGACCAACCUCACUGUACCUGCUGCUGCCUGGCCCUAUUCCCACAGCCCCUUAAAACAGGCUGGUUCCCCAGUACCAGUCUUGUGGGGGGUUUUGUUUGUUUGUUUUGUUUUGUUUUUUAAAAGAUUUAUUUAUUAUUACAUGUAAGUACAUUGUAGUUGUCUUCAGACACUCCAGAAGAGGGCAUCAGAUCUCAUCUCAUUACGGGUGGUUGUGAGCCACCAUGUGGUUGCUGGGAUUUGAACUCAGGACUUUUGGGAGAGCAGCCAGUGCUCUUUAACCACUGAGCCAUCUCUCCAGGCCCCCCACUCUUGUUUUUAGUUAUUGGCUUUUCUGCUUUUUUCAUGGUAUCUAACUUUAGAGGAACCAAGAAGAAAACUUCCUAAAGAAACAUUUACUUAUGCAUUCAAAGCUCCCAGAUGUCAAGGCCCAUUAAUUCUGAUACCAUAAAGAUUGCCUUCUCUCAUAAACAGACCUCAUGCUAAUGCUGAAAUACGUUUUAAAAUAAUAAUCUCCAUAUCAGGAUUUUCUGUUCUUUUCUCAGCCCUGUGUAUACUCUUGACAUAUGGCUGAAGGAGAAGUGCAAACCAACAAACCACUUGGCCUUGAGGAAUUCUCCAAAUAAGUACUAAUGCUGUUGUUACAUAGAAGAUGAUUUGUGUUUGUGUGUCAGGGCCUGGCAAUAGGAUGUGUCUAAUAGCCAAGAAUUUGGUUUAAUGAAGAAACAAGGUGGGCUUUGAAGUAACAUAACAAUGACAACCACAGUAUUGUGGGGGUAUAGGAAGAGGUGUAUUCACACAUGCAUAUGCAUUUAUUUGCUUUUCAAUGGGGGAAAAAAACUAUUU